AAAUUAGCACUAUCUAAUUUGGUAAGUAACAAAAUUAAAUAAGGAAACAAAUAUUUGUAGGGUUAAUCAAAUUUGAUAAUUAAUUAGCUUAUAUUUGUUUUCUCAUAUUAUCCUUACGAAUGGUUAACUAUUAUGCAAAAGUCAAUCUCGUCCUUAAAAUAUGAACGACUAGAUUUAAUUUAGCCGAUGUAUUGAAGCAGUCCUCUAUUUAAUAACUUUGAA
rnacentral:lncRNA from 1 species